rnacentral:pre_miRNA from 1 species
GACCCUGUGUCUGGUAGGCAGUGCACCGCUAGCUGGCUGCUGUAUCUGAACGUAGCAGUCACUACUGCACUGCCACCGGCUGCGGGGCCA